GGCGCUGUGGCUCAAGUGGUAGAGUGCUUGUCUUGCAUGCAUGAGGCCCUGGUUCGAUUCCUCAGCACCA
rnacentral:tRNA from 1 species